UAUGAUACAUUGUAUGCAUAUAGAUCUCAGUAAUUUGGGAUGAAAAAUAGUUAAUAUAUGUUAUUGAUAUAAAAAGUUUUAAACUGUCAAACAUUGGCCCAACGUUGGUUCGUUGUUAGAUUUUAAACCCGACAAUGAAUUUUUUUAUUUUUAGAGAAAUUUAGUGGAGGAUUGUAAAUUGUAUUGGGCUUAGUUAUUUAAAACUGUUGGGUCAUAGAUAUUGGCCAUUGUUGCUCUGUUGAGGGAUGUUUAUUGUUUAUAUAAAUCUGAUGAGCUGUAUGUACAUGUGUAGCUGGAGCGCCUAUUGCAUAACGAAUCUUAAAGUGUCGAAAUUAAGAGGCAGACGGAGCUCCUUUACUGCCCAAGUAUCUGGGUCAGUGCUUCUCACAGCAUGGGUCUGGCCAGUUUCCUUGGAGAUCGGUCAUCUGAUAUAACCAGGAUGGUCAAAACUGCCACUUUUUAUUUCAAAUAUAUUGCAACCGUUGUGCGUGUACACCUAUAGUAAAUAGUGUUUUUUCUACUGUACAAAUUAUACAUUAGAAGAUUUGGGAUAUAUAUGCUACAAAAACCGCAGUAAGAAAAAAACAGACUGUGUGCCUCUGCAACAGAUGUAGAGAUAGGGAAUUAGGACAGCUAGGUUCCGUUUUUCAAAGACCGUGAAGGUGAAGGGAAAAAAGGGAAGAAAGAAAAAAAGCAAGGAGGUAACCCAAGCCACUGAAGCCAGUGACCCGGACAGUGAUCAGACCCUACAGUUCGAUUGUUACUAAGGAAUUUACAUAGACAAAGAAAUAUGCUAGCGAUUCUUUUUAAUUCUAAAAAGUGUUUAAAUGUAUUGUAAAUUUUUACUAAGAAAGAAUAAAAUCUGUAUACUAUG